rnacentral:rRNA from 1 species
CAGUCGCCACGGUAAUACGUAGGGUGCGAGCGUUAAUCGGAAUUACUGGGCGUAAAGCGUGCGCAGGCGGUUUUGUAAGACAGGCGUGAAAUCCCCGGGCUCAACCUGGGAAUGGCGCUUGUGACUGCAAAGCUAGAGUGCGGCAGAGGGGGAUGGAAUUCCGCGUGUAGCAGUGAAAUGCGUAGAUAUGCGGAGGAACACCGAUGGCGAAGGCAAUCCCCUGGGCCUGCACUGACGCUCAUGCACGAAAGCGUGGGGAGCAAACAGGAUUAGAUACCCCAGUAGUCCCUGUCUCUUAUAA